CCUACGGGAGGCAGCAGUGAGGAAUAUUGGUCAAUGGACGAGAGUCUGAACCAGCCAAGUAGCGUGAAGGAUGACUGCCCUAUGGGUUGUAAACUUCUUUUAUAAAGGAAUAAAACGAGGCACGUGUGCCUUUUUGCAUGUACUUUAUGAAUAAGGAUCGGCUAACUCCGUUCCAGCAGCCGCGGUAAUACGGAGGAUCCGAGCGUUAUCCGGAUUUAUUGGGUUUAAAGGGAGCGUAGAUGGGUUGUUAAGUCAGUUGUGAAAGUUUGCGGCUCAAUCGUAAAAUUGCAAUUGAUACUGGCAGUCUUGAGUACAGGUGAGGUAGGCGGAAUUCGUGGUGUAGCGGUGAAAUGCUUAGAUAUCACGAAGAACCCCGAUUGCGAAGGCAGCUUACUAAAAUGUGACUGACAUUGAUGCUCGAAAGUGUGGGUAGCAAACAGGAUUAGAUACCCUGGUAGUC
rnacentral:rRNA from 1 species